GAUUUGAGAAAAUGAUGAGAAUGGAGGAGUAACAAAAGUGAAAACAAAAACUUAAAGUGAAACAAUUUCAAAUAUAUUUCAGUUUUCAAUUUUGUUACUCCUCUCUCAUCUUCCCUCUUAAUUC
rnacentral:miRNA from 1 species